rnacentral:rRNA from 1 species
AACGAACGCUGGCGGCAUGCCUAACACAUGCAAGUCGAACGAGACCUUCGGGUCUAUUGGCGCACGGGUGGGUAACCGGUGGGACCCUGCCCUUAGGUUCGGAAUACCUCCCCGAAGGGGUUCCUAUUACGGGAUAAUUUCUCCGACCAAAAGAUUUAUCGCCUUUGGAUGGGCCCGCGUUGGAUUAGCUAGUUGGUAGGGUAAAAGCCUACCAAGGCGACGAUCCAUAGCUGGUCUGAGAGGAUGAUCAGCCACACUGGGACUGAGACACGGCCCAGACUCCUACGGGAGGCAGCAGUGGGGAAUAUUGGACAAUGGGCGAAAGCCUGAUCCAGCAAUGCCGCGUGAGUGAUGAAGGCCUUAGGGUUGUAAAGCUCUUUUACCCGGGAUGAUAAUGACAGUACCGGGAGAAUAAGCUCCGGCUAACUCCGUG